rnacentral:rRNA from 1 species
UACGGAGGGUGCGAGCGUUGUUCGGAAUCACUGGGCGUAAAGCGCGUGUAGGCGGCCCACUAAGUCUGAUGUGAAAGCCCGGGGCUCACCCCCGGAAGUGCAUUGGAAACUGGUGGACUCGAGUUCCGGAGAGGAGAGUGGAAUUCCUGGUGUAGCGGUGAAAUGCGUAGAUAUCAGGAGGAACACCGGUGGCGAAGGCGGCUCUCUGGACGGUGACUGACGCUGAGACGCGAAAGCGUGGGGAGCAAGCAGG